GGGACAGGGUUUAGUGUCAGGGCCCAGGCCAGAGAGAGUGGGCUGGGGUCCUGGGGUGAGAAUGAACACGGCAACUUCUAAGUAGUUACCCAUAGGAUAGGUGCAGGAAGUGAGAGUUUGGGCCAGGAAGUAAGGGUUGGUGCAGGAAGCCAGGAUCCUGGGAGUAGAAGCUCCAAGUUCCCAUCUCUGGCCUUCAGGAGGGCCUUGGCUGAGUGGGAGUGUGGGCAGGGUGCUGACAGGGCCAGGGCCUUCCUGUCCAGCCUACCCACACCCCGGCUCCCCUCUGGCCCCAGGGCUCUGCCAGGCAGCUGCAGCUCAAAGCCAAACUGAAAGCUGCCGGGGUAGCACAGAGGUGGUUUCCAGGGCCGAGCGCCCCACCUCCCUCCACCCCAACAGAGAGAACAGAGAGGGCAGAGGUGGGGUCACCCCCUCCCCCAGCACUCCAUGUUCCACAGUCCAAGGGAGAGAAGACAGAGCUCUGGGGAGAGGAGCAAGGGGACAUUGCAGCGGCACCCUGUCCUGUGCCCUUCACAGGGAGUCAGGAGGGCCACUCCUCAGAAAGCACAGAGGGGCGGGGCCUGACCGGAGGCCCACACUCCUGUGUGCACCUCUGAGGGGAGGUCUGGGCAGUGCAGAAAAUGUGCGUUUGUGGGGGACAAAGAGCCUUAACCUAGGAGAGGGGGCAGCUGGGAGGGGAAGUUCCAGCCCUGGGGUUUCCCCACAUCAGGUGGGGAAAACGAAAGCCCGAGCUGGAGGGUCUAGGCCGCAGGGACAGCUGCCUUGGGGCAUUAGUGACGGGGGGAGCUUAGCUGAAAGGCCUGCCUGGGCUGGGGAGGGGGCUGCUCAGGAGGAGGGGGGCAGGCUUGGCGGCAGGCGGCAGGAGAGGCCCAGGAGAGAGUGACGGGGGAGGGAGGAACCGCUCUGGAAAUCCCCUAGGCCAGGGCCUGCUCUCUGGGUCACAUUCCUGCAGCCACCUCCCUCUUUCCGUCAGUCUCCCUUCCUCCCACUUCCUCUUCCCAUUUCUAUAUGUCCCACAGCCCAGUCUCCUCCAAGGGAAGAAAGUGCCCCCUCCUCUCAGGGAACCCCCUGGGGAGUCUUGACACCUCUCCAUCCACCUGCCACAGUCUAGACACUACACCUGUCUCUAACUAGAGACAGUAAAGACUGGGUCUGAGAAGCUAACAAAGGACGGCAGUGGCAGAAGUCCCCACUCCCUGGGUCGAAGGUCAGCCAUUGAUAUUCUGCAUGGAACCCCCACAAUCUUGCUCUUGGCCUGAAAGCUGGUGAUCUGGGCACAGAAUACAAAAAGGCCUGGGGUCACGCGUCUCCCACCACUGGGUCCAGAAGCUGUCUUUGUCAAAGGCCAUCCAGGAUCAGGAGAUCAUCUCCAAAAAGCAGGUUCCUCUCCCAUCUUCAAAGGCUGGAGCCAAAGUAGUCGUACACUCCAGAGCCAAACCACUCGGGUUCAAAACCUGGCACUAUCAUCCCAUUUUAAAGUUGGGAAGCUGAGGCCCAGAGAGAAGCUGAAUUUGAGGAAAAACCUACCCAGAUCAAGUGCAGUGUCUGGCUUGGAACCAUAACAGGUGCGUGGCAGCCCCUUUUCUGGCCACAUGAGGUCAGCAUUGAGUCACCCACUGCUUCCACCUAGCCUGCACUGACAGGAAGCCCUUCUGGGAACACUUCGGGAAUGGGGAGAGGGACCAUGGCAGUCAUCUGGAAAGAUGGCCCGCGGAUUUUGACCACAGGAUAGUCAGGGUCCUGACUUCACUUCCUCAGCCCCAGUCUUCUCCGAAGCUGGGCCCCUCCCAUCGUCUUCUGUCUCUGCCAGUGUUUUCUGGUUCCCUUUGUCAUGCCCCUCCUCAGACCCUCAUUCCCCACUUCCACACACCCCAGCCAGGCUCAUCUUCAGGAAACAGGUCUGGUUGCCAUGAUGACCAGUUGGG